UGGGGAUAAUAGGACAGUAAUGAUCAAAUGAAAUAAUAUAUCAGUAAUGUGUCUACAAUCAUUUAUCAGAGAGCCUGGCUCUUUGUUUCACCUCCAAAAUUUCUAUUGACACCUAAAUCCUUAUCUCAGGGUCUGAUUCUUAGGGAUCCUAAACAAAAAAAUCACAGACAAGGACAAAACAAGCACAGGCAAGACCCCCCAACUCCUGGACUGAAGGUGAAAGAGGAAAAAGGAUGAGGUUUUUCCUCUUCAUACACUUUGGUUUUGUUAGUGCAACAGCGGGAAGCUGCAAUCAAGUGCAGUUCUCCCUGUAAUAAAUUAUCUUCACUGUGUCGGGAGAGUGAGAGACAAAAAGACACAGAGAA